UAGAAAGUAACUCCUUUGUGAGUGAUUUUAGAAUUAGCAUAGAGAAAACAUUUUUGCGAGUGAAUUUCUCUAUGCUUUUAUUAUAUCA
rnacentral:antisense_RNA from 1 species